UGAAUUGCAGAAUCCCGUGAACCAUCGAGUCUUUGAACGCAAGUUGCGCCCGAAGCCGUUAGGUUGAAGGCACGUCUGCCUGGGCGUCACGC
rnacentral:rRNA from 1 species